CCUACGGGAGGCAGCAGUGAGGAAUAUUGGUCAAUGGCCGAGAGGCUGAACCAGCCAAGUCGCGUGAGGGAAGACGGCCCUACGGGUUGUAAACCUCUUUUGUCGGGGAGCAAAGAGAGUCACGUGUGAAUCAUUGAGAGUACCCGAAGAAAAAGCAUCGGCUAACUCCGUGCCAGCAGCCGCGGUAAUACGGAGGAUGCGAGCGUUAUCCGGAUUUAUUGGGUUUAAAGGGUGCGUAGGCGGAGUGUCAAGUCAGCGGUAAAAUUUCGGGGCUCAACCCCGUCGUGCCGUUGAAACUGACACCCUUGAGUGAGUGAGAAGUAAGCGGAAUGCGUGGUGUAGCGGUGAAAUGCAUAGAUAUCACGCAGAACGCCGAUUGCGAAGGCAGCUUACCGGCGCUCAACUGACGCUGAGGCACGAAAGUGCGGGUAUCGAACAGGAUUAGAUACCCCUGUAGUC
rnacentral:rRNA from 1 species